AAUUAAUCUUCUUUUUUAUUUUUUCUGGCUUCUUCAUUCGCCGCUGAUAAAUAUUUGCAUAUGCAAAUAAUCUCGUUUCACCGGUAUAAAGCUUGGAGACAAAUCUAUUAUCGGACUAAACAUUUGUUACAACUACGAUCGGCUAACUGCUAUGCACGUGUUACUAGUGCUCGCCAUUCUAGUAGCUGCGGAGGCAGCAACAUUGCCGAUGGACAAAAUGCAUGCUGCUGAAAAUGACAUGGAUGACAUGCAUGAUACUGGCUUGGAUGAUACUGGCUUGGAUGAACACUCUAGUAACAAGGGCGGCGGCCUUUUAGGCUUUAAGUACGGCUAGAGCGGCUAAAACGAGCAUCAUGUACAUCAAACAAUAUUGCAAAAACAUCGUCUUCGAAGAUUCCUCAACAGUUCUUUCUUUAUAAAGCUUGAAAAUGAUUUGUAUCUAUCACAAUAAAAAAGUCGUUAAUCAAGAA